rnacentral:rRNA from 1 species
UCCAGACUCCUACGGGAGGCAGCAGUAGGGAAUCUUUCACAAUGGGCGAAAGCCUGAUGGAGCAACGCCGCGUUCAGGAUGAAGGCCUUCGGGUUGUAAACUGCUUUUAUAAGCGAGAAAUAUGAUGGUAACUUAUGAAUAAGGAUCGGCUAACUACGUGCCAGCAGCCGCGGUAAUACGUAGGUGGCAAGCGUUAUCCGGAUUUACUUGGUGUAAAGGGUGUGUAGGCGGGACUGCAAGUCAGAUGUGAAAAUUAUGGGCUCAACCCAUGACCUGCAUUUGAAACUGUAGUUCUUGAGUGAUGGAGAGGCAGGCGGAAUUCCGUGUGUAGCGGUGAAAUGCGUAGAUAUACGGAGGAACACCAGUGGCGAAGGCGGCCUGCUGGACAUUAAAUGACGCUGAGGCGCGAAAGCGUGGGGAGCAAACAGGAUUAGAUACCCGGGUAAU